rnacentral:lncRNA from 1 species
AAUUAUUAUUUCGAGUUGUUUUGUACCAUCUUUCUCUCAGCCAUUCUUUCACCUUUGACGGCCACGAUCUCCCACACAUUCCUUUUUGUCUCUUAUGCGGCAUUUAUUAGGUCAUUUAUUGCGGCUGUCUUGUCAUCAUUAAAGCCGUUUUCAGAAUUCUAUUCGACGGCCCUUUUUCUUUUUUUUCUCUUUUGUUUUCUUUUUCUCUACGCUUUCUUUUUCCUCUCUUCGUCCUUCGUUUUUCUUUCUUCUUCCUCUUCGCCCGAGAAUCCCUUUCUUCUUUUGUCUUCUCUACUUUUUCUUUCGUCUCCUUUAAUGGCUUCGUUUCCUCAUCUUCUUUUUUCUCCACCUCUCAUUUACACUUUACUUAAACAAUAUGUUGGGUCGGAACCUUCUUAAUUUAUUUUAUAUCCCUCGUUUACAGAUGACCCUAUCCCUGAGAAUUUUCCUUUCUCAAGUAAGGGUCUUCCUUUAAUGGCUGAUGUCAUUCAUCUCCACUCUUGGUAUGCUUCAACUUCGAUGGGAAAAAAUCUUCGGACUUGGCCGAAUGUUUCGGAAG